rnacentral:lncRNA from 1 species
GCUCUUACCCUUGUGGAGUUGCUUUUAGUCCUUGUGGAAAGCUCAUGGCUUGUGGUGCAGAGGACAGACAUCUUAUCACAGCCACCUUAGAUGGGAAACUUCAGCUAUUUGUGGCUGAGUGACAGCUGACCUGCUGGUAAGAAUACAAGAAGAAAGGAGAGAAAGAAUCCAUGGCUUAGCUAUUUGAAGUGGACGGGCAGUUUCCAUAGGAGACCCUUGCUGGAUUCCUCUUCUGUAGGACUGACCCCCAUGUGAGAGUCCCUCCUCUUAAGAAAACCUUCAUGGGAAUCCUGGAAAUGAUGUUCUUCAAUAAAGAUGAGCCAGUGCCUC